rnacentral:ncRNA from 2 species
UUCUUAUCCAGAGAGGUGGAGGGACUGGCCCUUUGAAGCCCGGCAACCAUCGAUUGUACAUGAUGUACAAUGUGAACGGUGCCAAAUCCUGCAAGAUUGAAGAAUCUUGGGAGAUGAGAG